rnacentral:rRNA from 1 species
GUCUACGUCCAUGCCCCCCUGAACAAGCCCGAUCUCAUCUGAUCUCGGAAGCUAAGCAGGGUCGGGCCUGGUUAGUACUUGAAUGGGAGACCACCUCAGAAGACUAGGUACCGUAGGCA